CCUACGGGCGGCUGCAGUGGGGAAUAUUGGACAAUGGGGGGAACCCUGAUCCAGCCAUGCCGCGUGUGUGAAGAAGGCCCUCGGGUUGUAAAGCACUUUCAGUGAGGAAGAACGCCUGGUGGUUAAUACCCAUCAGGAAAGACAUCACUCACAGAAGAAGCACCGGCUAACUCCGUGCCAGCAGCCGCGGUAAUACGGAGGGUGCGAGCGUUAAUCGGAAUUACUGGGCGUAAAGCGCGCGUAGGUGGCUUGAUAAGCCGGUUGUGAAAGCCCCGGGCUCAACCUGGGAACGGCAUCCGGAACUGUCAAGCUAGAGUGCAGGAGAGGAAGGUAGAAUUCCCGGUGUAGCGGUGAAAUGCGUAGAGAUAGGGAGGAAUACCAGUGGCGAAGGCGGCCUUCUGGACUGACACUGACACUGAGGUGCGAAAGCGUGGGUAGCAAACAGGAUUAGAUACCCCGGUAGUC
rnacentral:rRNA from 1 species